UCCGGUUGAUCCUGCCGGAGGUUACUGCUAUCGAGGUUCGACUAAGCCAUGCGAGUCGAAUGUAGCAAUACAUGGCGUACUGCUCAGUAACACGUGGACAACCUACCCUUGAGACGGGGAUAAACCCGGGAAACUGGGUAUAAUACCCGAUAGAUCUCGACUGCUGGAAUGCAUCGAGCUCCAAAGCUCCGGCGCUCAAGGAUGGGUCUGCGGCCUAUCAGGUAGUAGUGGGUGUAGCGUACCUACUAGCCUACGACGGGUACGGGUUGUGAGAGCAAGAGCCCGGAGAUGGAUUCUGAGACACGAAUCCAGGCCCUACGGGGUGCAGCAGGCGCGAAAACUUUACAAUGCUGGAAACAGCGAUAAGGGGACCUCGAGUGCCAGGUUACAAAUCUGGCUGUCGUGAUGCCUAAAAAGCAUUGCAUAGCAAGGGCCGGGCAAGACCGGUGCCAGCCGCCGCGGUAACACCGGCGGCUCGAGUGGUAACCGUUAUUAUUGGGUCUAAAGGGUCUGUAGCCGGCCGGAUAAGUCUCUUGGGAAAUCUGGCAGCUUAACUGUCAGGCUUUCAGGAGAUACUGUCUGGCUCGAGGCCGGGAGAGGUGAGAGGUACUUCAGGGGUAGGGGUGAAAUCUUGUAAUCCUUGAAGGACCACCAGUGGCGAAGGCGUCUCACCAGAACGGACCUGACGGCAAGGGACGAAAGCUAGGGGCACGAACCGGAUUAGAUACCCGGGUAGUCCUAGCCGUAAACGAUACUCGCUAGGUGUCGGCAACGGUGCGACCGUUGUCGGUGCCGUAGGGAAGCCGUGAAGCGAGCCACCUGGGAAGUACGGCCGCAAGGCUGAAACUUAAAGGAAUUGGCGGGGGAGCACCACAACGGGUGGAGCUUGCGGUUUAAUUGGAUUCAACGCCGGAAA
rnacentral:rRNA from 1 species